UACGUAGGCAGCGAGCGUUGUUCGGAGUUACUGGGCGUAAAGGGUGUGUAGGCGGUUGUUUAAGUUUGGUGUGAAAUCUCCCGGCUCAACUGGGAGGGUGCGCCGAAUACUGAAUGACUUCGAGUGCGGGAGAGGAGAGUGGAAUUCCUGGUGUAGCGGUGAAAUGCGUAGAUAUCAGGAGGAACACCGGUGGCGAAGGCGGGUCUCUGGGCAGUAACUGACGCUCAUGCACGAGAGCGUGGGGAGCAAACAGG
rnacentral:rRNA from 1 species